GAGAUUUGAGUUUAGAUCUCUUUUAAAUCAGCAGAUUUGAUAUCUGACUGAUUAAAUUCAGAUUAGCACAUGAACAUAUCUAACCAGUCUAGUCGGUAUGGGUGAACUAGAGUCAACAAGUAAUCUAACACAAAACUAAAUCUCCCAAGAUGGCCAGGUAAGUUAAGAUGUGUGAGGGUCUCCCAGUUGCUUUUCUUAGACACCAAUCAAAAUUGAUCAAGUCAGAUAAUGGAACCAAUUAAAUAACCACCAUCUAAAUACUUGUCUUAGACACCAAA
rnacentral:lncRNA from 1 species